UUUGGUUAAGUUAGAAAGGGCGCACGGUGGAUGCCUUGACACUAGGAGUCGAUGAAGGACGGGACUAACGCCGAUAUGCUUCGGGGAGCUGUAAGUAAGCUUUGAUCCGAAGAUUUCCGAAUGGGGAAACCCACCAUACGUAAUGGUAUGGUAUCCUUAUCUGAAUACAUAGGGUAAGGAAGACAGACCCAGGGAACUGAAACAUCUAAGUACCUGGAGGAAGAGAAAGCAAAUGCGAUUUCCUGAGUAGCGGCGAGCGAAACGGAACAUAGCCCAAACCAAGAGGCUUGCCUCUUGGGGUUGUAGGACAUUCUAUACGGAGUUACAAAGGAACGAGGUAGACGAAGCGACCUGGAAAGGUCCGUCGUAGAGGGUAACAACCCCGUAGUCGAAACUUCGUUCUCUCUUGAAUGUAUCCUGAGUACGGCGGAACACGUGAAAUUCCGUCGGAAUCUGGGAGGACCAUCUCCCAAGGCUAAAUACUCCCUAGUGAUCGAUAGUGAACCAGUACCGUGAGGGAAAGGUGAAAAGCACCCCGGAAGGGGAGUGAAAGAGAUCCUGAAACCGUGUGCCUACAAAUAGUCAGAGCCCGUUAACGGGUGAUGGCGUGCCUUUUGUAGAAUGAACCGGCGAGUUACGAUCCCAUGCGAGGUUAAGCUGAAGAGGCGGAGCCGCAGCGAAAGCGAGUCUGAAUAGGGCGUUUAGUACGUGGUCGUAGACCCGAAACCAGGUGAUCUACCCAUGUCCAGGGUGAAGUUCAGGUAACACUGAAUGGAGGCCCGAACCCACGCACGUUGAAAAGUGCGGGGAUGAGGUGUGGGUAGCGGAGAAAUUCCAAUCGAACCUGGAGAUAGCUGGUUCUCCCCGAAAUAGCUUUAGGGCUAGCCUUAAGUGUAAGAGUCUUGGAGGUAGAGCACUGAUUGGACUAGGGGUCCUCAUCGGAUUACCGAAUUCAGUCAAACUCCGAAUGCCAAUGACUUAUCCUUAGGAGUCAGACUGCGAGUGAUAAGAUCCGUAGUCAAAAGGGAAACAGCCCAGACCGCCAGCUAAGGUCCCAAAGUGUGUAUUAAGUGGAAAAGGAUGUGGAGUUGCUUAGACAACUAGGAUGUUGGCUUAGAAGCAGCCACCAUUUAAAGAGUGCGUAAUAGCUCACUAGUCGAGUGACUCUGCGCCGAAAAUGUACCGGGGCUAAAUACACCACCGAAGCUGCGGAUUGAUACCGAAUGGUAUCAGUGGUAGGGGAGCGUUCUAAGGACAGUGAAGUCAGACCGGAAGGACUGGUGGAGUGCUUAGAAGUGAGAAUGCCGGUAUGAGUAGCGAAAGACGGGUGAGAAUCCCGUCCACCGAAUGCCUAAGGUUUCCUGAGGAAGGCUCGUCCGCUCAGGGUUAGUCAGGACCUAAGCCGAGGCCGACAGGCGUAGGCGAUGGACAACAGGUUGAUAUUCCUGUACCACCUCUUUAUCGUUUGAGCAAUGGAGGGACGCAGAAGGAUAGAAGAAGCGUGCGAUUGGUUGUGCACGUCCAAGCAGUUAGGCUGAUAAGUAGGCAAAUCCGCUUAUCGUGAAGGCUGAGCUGUGAUGGGGAAGCUCCUUAUGGAGCGAAGUCUUUGAUUCCCCGCUGCCAAGAAAAGCUUCUAGCGAGAUAAAAGGUGCCUGUACCGCAAACCGACACAGGUAGGCGAGGAGAGAAUCCUAAGGUGUGCGAGAGAACUCUGGUUAAGGAACUCGGCAAAAUGACCCCGUAACUUCGGGAGAAGGGGUGCUUUCUUAACGGAAAGCCGCAGUGAAUAGGCCCAAGCGACUGUUUAGCAAAAACACAGCUCUCUGCGAAGCCGUAAGGCGAAGUAUAGGGGGUGACACCUGCCCGGUGCUGGAAGGUUAAGGAGAGGGGUUAGCGUAAGCGAAGCUCUGAACUGAAGCCCCAGUAAACGGCGGCCGUAACUAUAACGGUCCUAAGGUAGCGAAAUUCCUUGUCGGGUAAGUUCCGACCCGCACGAAAGGUGUAACGAUUUGGGCACUGUCUCAACCAGAGACUCGGUGAAAUUAUAGUACCUGUGAAGAUGCAGGUUACCCGCGACAGGACGGAAAGACCCCGUGGAGCUUUACUGUAGCCUGAUAUUGAAUUUUGGUACAGUUUGUACAGGAUAGGCGGGAGCCAUUGAAACCGGAGCGCUAGCUUCGGUGGAGGCGCUGGUGGGAUACCGCCCUGACUGUAUUGAAAUUCUAACCUACGGGUCUUAUCGACCCGGGAGACAGUGUCAGGUGGGCAGUUUGACUGGGGCGGUCGCCUCCUAAAGUGUAACGGAGGCGCCCAAAGGUUCCCUCAGAAUGGUUGGAAAUCAUUCGUAGAGUGCAAAGGCAUAAGGGAGCUUGACUGCGAGACCUACAAGUCGAGCAGGGACGAAAGUCGGGCUUAGUGAUCCGGUGGUUCCGCAUGGAAGGGCCAUCGCUCAACGGAUAAAAGCUACCCCGGGGAUAACAGGCUUAUCUCCCCCAAGAGUCCACAUCGACGGGGAGGUUUGGCACCUCGAUGUCGGCUCAUCGCAUCCUGGGGCUGUAGUCGGUCCCAAGGGUUGGGCUGUUCGCCCAUUAAAGCGGUACGCGAGCUGGGUUCAGAACGUCGUGAGACAGUUCGGUCCCUAUCCGUCGUGGGCGUAGGAAAUUUGAGAGGAGCUGUCCUUAGUACGAGAGGACCGGGAUGGACGCACCGCUGGUGUACCAGUUGUUCUGCCAAGGGCAUAGCUGGGUAGCUAUGUGCGGAAGGGAUAAGUGCUGAAAGCAUCUAAGCAUGAAGCCCCCCUCAAGAUGAGAUUUCCCAUAGCGUAAGCUAGUAAGAUCCCUGAAAGAUGAUCAGGUUGAUAGGUUCGAGGUGGAAGCAUGGUGACAUGUGGAGCUGACGAAUACUAAUAGAUCGAGGACUUAACCAUAUAA
rnacentral:rRNA from 1 species